GAUGAACGCUAGCUGGAGGCUUAAUACAUGCAAGUCGAGCGGGAUUGGUAGCAAUACCAUGAGAGCGGCGCACGGGUGAGUAACGCGUACACGACCUACCUCUGACAGGGGGAUAGCCCUGGGAAACUGGGAUUAAUACCGCAUAUUAUUCUGAUUAAUAAAGGAUUGGAAUGAAAGUUCAGGCGGUCAGAGAUGGGUGUGCGUCUGAUUAGCUAGUUGGUAGGGUAAUGGCCUACCAAGGCGAUGAUCAGUAGGGGGCGUGAGAGCGUGGUCCCCCACACGGGUACUGAGACACGGACCCGACUCCUACGGGUGGCAG
rnacentral:rRNA from 1 species